CGGACAGCCUAUUUUUAGCUUGGCGUUCUAAGCAGAAGCGCAAAAGUGUCUCUUUCUCUCCACGUUUGAGGCUCGGAAGGCAUGUGCUGUGCGAGUUCCUUGCUUGUCAGAACAGCCAGCUGAGAAGAAGUCGAGAAGUCACAUUUAACACGUGUCCCAGCAAUAUCCUUCCGUUCGCAAUGUCAAGGAGAUACCUGGUUUUUUGCUUGGUGCUGGUUGUGGACGCCGCCAUAAAAAAUAUGCAUACUACUUCAUGUGGAAGACGUGUAAAAGAGUGCCCGAAAAAUCAACGACCCAACUGCCUCUUUAAAAAUGGGCAUGUACACUUCGAAUGUUCCCCGAAGACAAGACCUUGUCAAUAUUCGUGGUCUAGAGUGUGCGAAAAUUUCGUUUAUAUUGUGUGCGCUCCUAGACCCACACACUGUGAUUGCCACUGCGUGGUUACGCCAACGCCGAGUUUCUCAAUUCAACAAAGAAAUAAGACUCGACAGCAUUUAUGAUCUGGAAGAAGCCGCUUCACCUCAGUCGUCAGCCUUGUCGUGGUCGCGACUGUGCAUGGUGUGAUGGAAUCCCUAAAGGCCGGCUGAAUGUUUAAGCAAGCAAUAAAGUUCUAUUUUUACAAGUA